CCUACGGGAGGCAGCAGUGGGGAAUAUUGCACAAUGGGGGGAACCCUGAUGCAGCGACGCCGCGUGAGCGAUGAAGUAUUUCUUUAUGUAAAGCUCUAUCAGCAGGGAAGAAAAUGACGGUACCUGCCUAAGAAGCCCCGGCUAACUCCGUGCCAGCCGCCGCGGUAAUACGUAGGGGGCAAGCGUUAUCCGGAUUUACUGGGUGUAAAGGGAGCGUAGACGGCUGUGCAAGCCAGAUGUGAAAGCCCGGGGCUCAACCCCGGGACUGCAUUUGGAACUGUGUGGCUGGAGUGUCGGAGAGGCAGGCGGAAUUCCUAGUGUAGCGGUGAAAUGCGUAGAUAUUAGGAGGAACACCAGUGGCGAAGGCGGCCUGCUGGACGAUGACUGACGUUGAGGCUCGAAAGCGUGGGGAGCAAACAGGAUUAGAUACCCGAGUAGUC
rnacentral:rRNA from 1 species